GGCGAUCAAAAAAAAAAAAAAAAAAAAAAAAAUAGCCAAAUGCCUCGUCAUCUAAUUAGUGACGCGCAUGAAUGGAUUAACGAGAUUCCUACUGUCCCUAUCUACUAUCUAGCGAAACCACAGCCAAGGGAACGGGCUUGGAAUAAUUAGCGGGGAAAGAAGACCCUUUUGAGCUUGACUCUAAUCUGGCAGUGUAAGGAGACAUAAGAGGUGUAGAAUAAGUGGGAGAUAUUAUUCCUUGUGUUUGAUAUCGCCAAUGAAAUACCACUACUCUUAUUGUUUCCUUACUUACUUGAUUAAAUGGAACGUGUAUCAUUUCCUAGCCAUUAUACGGAUAUAUUUAUUAUAUCUUAUGGUAUUGGGUUUUGAUGCAAGCUUCUUGAUCAAAGUAUCACGAGUUUGUUAUAUAAUCGCAAACAAAUUCUUUAAUGAGAGAGUGCAUUUAUGUAUUUUUAAUUUGAAAUAUUUGGUAUAACUCCAAUUACUCAGGUAUGAUCCAAUUCAAGGACAUUGCCAGGUAGGGAGUUUGACUGGGGCGGUACAUCUCUCAAAUAAUAACGGAGGUGUCCCAAGGCCAGCUCAGUGCGGACAGAAACCACACAUAGAGCAAAAGGGCAAAUGCUGACUUGAUCUCGGUGUUCAGUACACACAGGGACAGCAAAAGCUCGGCCUAUCGAUCCUUUUGGUUUAAAGAGUUUUUAACAAGAGGUGUCAGAAAAGUUACCAUAGGGAUAACUGGCUUGUGGCGGCCAAGCGUUCAUAGCGACGUCGCUUUUUGAUCCUUCGAUGUCGGCUCUUCCUAUCAUUGUGAAGCAAAAUUCACCAAGCGUUGGAUUGUUCACCCAUGCAAGGGAACGUGAGCUGGGUUUAGACCGUCGUGAGACAGGUUAGUUUUACCCUACUAAUGACAAAACGUUGUUGCGACAGCAUUCCUGCGUAGUACGAGAGGAACCGCAGGUACGGACCAAUGGCACAAUACUUGUUCGAGCGAACAGUGGUAUGACGCUACGUCCGUUGGAUUAUGCCUGAACGCCUCUAAGGUCGUAUCCGUGCUGGACUGCAAUGAUAAAUAAGGGGCAAUUUGCAUUGUAUGGCUUCUAAACCAUUAAAAGUUUAUUUUAUAAACGACAAUGGAUGUGAUGCCAAUGUUAUUUGUAACAUAGUAAAUUGGGAGGAUCUUCGAUCACCUGAUGCCGCGCUAGUUACUUAUUAAAACAUUAUUUAAUACAAUGACAAAGCCUAGAAUCAAUUGUAAACGACUUUUGUAACAGGCAAGGUGUUGUAAGUGGUUGAGCAGCUGCCAUACUGCGAUCCACUGAAGCUUAUCCUUUGCUUGAUGAUUCGAUUUUUUUAAAU
rnacentral:rRNA from 1 species